AGGACGAACGCUGGCGGCGUGCUUAACACAUGCAAGUCGAGCGGUAAGGCCUCCUUCGGGGGGUACACGAGCGGCGAACGGGUGAGUAACACGUGGGUGACCUGCCCUCAGCUCUGGGAUAAGCCUGGGAAACCGGGUCUAAUACCGGAUGGGACUGCUUGCCGCAUGGUGGGUGGUGGAAAGUUUUUUCGGCUGGGGAUGGGCCCGCGGCCUAUCAGCUUGUUGGUGGGGUGAUGGCCUACCAAGGCGGUGACGGGUAGCCGGCCUGAGAGGGGCGACCGGGCCAACGACCUGGGACUGAGACACGGCCCAGACUCCUACGGGAGGCAGCAGUGGGGAAUAUUGCGCAAUGGGCGGAAGCCUGACGCAGCGACGCCGCGUGGGGGAUGACGGCCUUCGGGUUGUAAACCUCUUUCGCCAUCGACGAAGCCUCUCGGGGUGACGGUAGGUGGAGAAGAAGCACCGGCCAACUACGUGCCAGCAGCCGC
rnacentral:rRNA from 1 species